UUAAUAGCCUAGGUUCAAAAUUUGGCAAAAAUAUCUGAAAACAAUUGUUGACGUUGUGAUUUCAGAUUAAAAGUGUGAGUCAUUCACAGUUCAAUAAUAAAGGAGUUGCCAAUUCUGGAAAAAUAUCCUAUGAACCUUGAGGCAUCUGCCGUCUUUCCGGAAACCAGUAGGACGUCAGCUCCGCAGGGAUGCGGGUUCGGGAGAGAGUCAGGAAGGAUCUGCUGUGGGAUCUGUUCUCCAAAACUAGGGCUGAGCCGGCUGCCAAUCCCUAAGUGACCUCAUAAACACAAGAAUGAGAAUAAAGAAAUAUUUCCUACAAUUUCCCCCCUUUUUUUUUGAUGAACGUGAACUAAAUUUUAAAAAGCAUCAGCCUAACAAAAAAGCUUCCUUCUCCAGCAAGCUUAACAUCACAGACACAAGGCAAGGCAGCUGAGCACAGUUAUUGUGUACACAGUAAAUCAGCCGCAAAAAGGGGCAGCUCAACAGGGCGCCAGGAGGGUGAGAUGCACACUUAACCCCUGAACACAUCGCCGCUCCAGUUCUCCCCAUCCCAGGCCUCUGCAGUCUGUGCUAAGUGUGCCAGGGAUGGAACAGGCCAUUUUCAAUCUAAAUCUUGUUAUAGAUUAAUAAGCAAACAUUUUCUUGCUUAUUAUACAAUUCAUCAUGAUGAAAAUUACAUUGGACUCCUCAAGGCUACAUGCUGAUGCACUCAUUUAUUCAGAGCUGUGUGGAGCAGCAAGUCAUACUAAUCUUCACGACAGAAAGGAUGUAGGAACGAGAUUUAAAUUACCUACUGAAAACUAUAGUAUUUGUGUCUGUCCACAUGCUAAGCGUACACAAAAUGUGAGCACCUCUUUUUUUUGCUGACAGGGCUUAAUGUCAUUUCAGUAAAAAGCACAAUUGUAAGUACUAAAGUAAAAACCUAGCUCUUCUCCAGGUAAUAAAAUAAAAUGUUGAAAUCUGAUUUGUCUUUGAACGGGCUACACAGUUAGGUCUAAACAAAAAAUGGAUAAUCAAACAGGUGGAAGUCUUCUCAAGAUAAACCAAGAGAGCUGCACCAAACCAGCUUUGGCUUCCUUGAAGGGUGCACAGAGCAGAUGCAGCCAGGAGGAGAUCGAGGGAUGAAAACAUCCUCCAAAGCUAUCCACAAAGGCCAGCGUCUUGUGCUACUGGCAUGGAUGCAGGGGCUCACAUCCUUCUAACCAGGGGUACCAACAGAGAAUCAUCCAGCCUCCUAAAUCCAGAAACUAUCUUGAGCACCACUGUGCCAAACUGCUCAUUCUAGAAAUGGGCUCACAAGCUCUUGAUACACUGAACCCUGGAAACAUAACAAUAGUGUCACCAUCUACCUGGCCACAGAGAAACAUCUACUGAAUCUCAUAAGAUGUGCUACUUCUAAAUACUUUUCUAAUGCAAACACAUUCAUCAUCUACCUUAUGAGACAAACACUUUCACCCCAACCAUUCAGCCAGAGAGUCACAGAAGCAAAAAAAUUAAGUAGCAUGGUGGUCUGAUAGGAGGUAAAAGGUGAAGGCAGUGCCUUAGGUUUGAAAGAGAAUACUCCCUUCCUACCAGUGAAUCUUGGGACAUUGGCAGGCAAAUGCCCUAUCUACAGACAAAGCCACAGCAUUCCAUUCUAGCCUUCAGUUGAUCCUCUGCUUCACUCUUCAUGAGCAUAAAGUAGACUGGAAAGACAACAGGCUAAUACAUGUCAGCACUUGGGGGAAGUGUAGUGUAUAGCAAUGUGACCAAAAGAAAACAGUACUAAACUCUAGUUUUAUAACAGGUUAAUAUUAUGGCAAUAAUGAAGUAUCAUUUGCUGAGAAAAUCAAAGAGGUGGUAUAAAAGAAGGCAUCAUAGAAUAGCUCAAGAAUUUCUUUUAGUUCUUUCCCAUUAGUCUGACCACAUUUAAAAAGAAAAGUGUUGAUGAGGGUGAGAAGAAAAUGGAACUCUUGCACACCGCUGGUAGAAAUGCAAAUAAAUGUUGUCACUAAUGUGAAAAAUUUUGAUGGCUUCUUGAAAAGUUGAAGAAGGAAUCAUCAUAUGACCAGGAACUCUACUCAUAGAAAUGAAAAUAGGUGUUUAAAUUUUAAAAAUGUGGACACAUGAAUGUCCAUAGCAGCUCUAUUUACAACAGCCAAGAAAUGUAAACAAUGUUUACAACUGAUAAACACUGUGUGGUAUAAUCAGAGAUGGGGCAAUGCUAUUCAGCCAUAAAAGGAAAUGAGGCACUGAUAACAUGCUGCAGUGUAGUGAGACUUUGUAAGUAUUAUACUAGUGAAAGGAAUUAAGAUUAUACUAGAGAAAGAAA